rnacentral:rRNA from 1 species
UACGUAGGGGGCAAGCGUUGUCCGGAUUUAUUGGGCGUAAAGAGCUCGUAGGUGGUUCGGUAAGCCGGAUGUGAAAUCUCCAGGCUCAACCUGGAGGGGUCAUUCGAUACUGCCGUGACUAGAGGUCGGUAGGGGAGUGUGGAAUUCCUGGUGGAGCGGUGAAAUGCGCAGAUAUCAGGAGGAACACCGGUGGCGAAGGCGGGUCUCUGGGCCGAUACUGACGCUGAGGAGCGAAAGCGUGGGGAGCGAACAGG